GAUGAACGCUGGCGGCGUGCCUAAUACAUGCAAGUCGAGCGAACGGACGAGAAGCUUGCUUCUCUGAUGUUAGCGGAGGACGGGUGAGUAACACGUGGAUAACCUACCUAUAAGACUGGGAUAACUUCGGGAAACCGUAGCUAAUACCGGAUAAUAUUUUGAACCGCAUGGUUCAAAGGUGAAAGACGGUCUUGCUGUCACUUAUAGAUGGAUCCGCGCUGCAUUAGCUAGUUGGUAAGGUAACGGCUUACCAAGGCAACGAUGCAUAGCCGACGUGAGAGAGUGGUCGGCCACACGAGAAGUGAGACACGGUCCAGACGCCUACGGUACGCAGCAGUAGGGAAUGUUCCGCAAUGGGCGGGAGCCUUACGGAGCAACGCCGCGUGAGUGAUGGAGGUCUUCGGUGCGGAAAACUCUGUUAUUAGUGAAGAACAGAUGUGUAAGGAACUGUGGACAGCUUGACGGUACUGGAUCAAAAAGCCACGGCUAACUACGUG
rnacentral:rRNA from 1 species